AGAUCCCUCCCUUGCAGAGUUCUUCUGUGAGCCUAGAUCUUUGGAGACAGAACAUGCAAUGCUAAAUAGUCUACUGCUUCAGGGGUCAUUUUUCUCCCUUUCUGUGUUCCCCCAAGAUGAAUAUCAGCAGCAGCAAGGAAACAGAGCCCAAGCACAGAAAUAGACAGCGCAUCUUUGUGAGCAGGAACACAGAACCCAGCUCCUCCUCACUCCUCCCACCUUCAGGACCAGAAGCACCAGCACAGAGCAGUCACCACACAGGAGCUACUCCUAGAGCCAAGGAAGAGACUCCUUAACCAGGGAGGGCUCCCCCC
ensembl:lncRNA